GACGAACGCUGGCGGCGUGCUUAACACAUGCAAGUCGAACGGAAAGGCCCUGCUUUUGUGGGGUGCUCGAGUGGCGAACGGGUGAGUAACACGUGAGUAACCUGCCCUUGACUUUGGGAUAACUUCAGGAAACUGGGGCUAAUACCGGAUAGGAGCUCCUGCUGCAUGGUGGGGGUUGGAAAGUUUCGGCGGUUGGGGAUGGACUCGCGGCUUAUCAGCUUGUUGGUGGGGUAGUGGCUUACCAAGGCUUUGACGGGUAGCCGGCCUGAGAGGGUGACCGGCCACAUUGGGCCUGAGAUACGGCCCAGACUCCUACGGGAGGCAGCAGUGGGGAAUAUUGCACAAUGGGCGGAAGCCUGAUGCAGAAACGCCGCGUGCGGGAUGACGGCCUUCGGGUUGUAAACCGCUUUCGCCUGUGACGAAGCGUGAGUGACGGUAAUGGGUAAAGAAGCACCGGCUAACUACGUG
rnacentral:rRNA from 1 species